rnacentral:rRNA from 1 species
UACGAAGGGGGCGAGCGUUGUUCGGAUUUACUGGGCGUAAAGGGCGCGUAGGCGGCCCUCUUAGUCGCGUGUGAAAGCCCCGGGCUCAACCUGGGAACGGCGCGCGAAACGGGAGGGCUGGAGUUCGGGAGAGGAGAGUGGAAUUCCCAGUGUAGAGGUGAAAUUCGUAGAUAUUGGGAAGAACACCGGUGGCGAAGGCGGCUCUCUGGACCGAGACUGACGCUGAGGAGCGAAAGCGUGGGGAGCAAACAGG